rnacentral:rRNA from 1 species
AUUGAACGCUGGCGGCAGGCCUAACACAUGCAAGUCGAACGGUAACAGGAAACAGCUUGCUGUUUCGCUGACGAGUGGCGGACGGGUGAGUAAUGUCUGGGAAACUGCCUGAUGGAGGGGGAUAACUACUGGAAACGGUAGCUAAUACCGCAUAACGUCGCAAGACCAAAGAGGGGGACCUUCGGGCCUCUUGCCAUCGGAUGUGCCCAGAUGGGAUUAGCUAGUAGGUGGGGUAACGGCUCACCUAGGCGACGAUCCCUAGCUGGUCUGAGAGGAUGACCAGCCACACUGGAACUGAGACACGGUCCAGACUCCUACGGGAGGCAGCAGUGGGGAAUAUUGCACAAUGGGCGCAAGCCUGAUGCAGCCAUGCCGCGUGUAUGAAGAAGGCCUUCGGGUUGUAAAGUACUUUCAGCGGGGAGGAAGGGAGUAAAGUUAAUACCUUGGCUCAUUGACGUUACCCGCAGAAGAAGCACCGGCUAACUCCAUG